rnacentral:tRNA from 1 species
UGGGCUAUGGCCAAGUUGGUUAAGGCAUCGGACUCUGACUCCGAAACCGCUAGUUCGAAUCUAGCUAGCCCAGCCA